rnacentral:lncRNA from 1 species
UGGUGUCAGGUUUUUAUGCGAUUUCAUACCUCUGAUCCAAGUUUUCUUUGAAUAAUAACAGAUGUAGCCUUCAAAGAUGGAUUAUCCUUAUUGUAGAAGAAAUUUAAACAGAAUAAUAUUGAAAAUAUGGAAAUAAAUGGUGAGUGCAAAAACUUAGAGAUUAAUUUGUCUUUGUAAACCAUUCAUAAAAUACCAAGUUCCCCAAUGUAUAUCAAAAUAAAACCAUCUAUGUCCGUGAUUAUCUAUAUUAUUAAAAAUAAAAUCAA